AUUUGCAUUGAAAUAUUAUUUGUUGGGAUUGUGGUCCGUGUAGUUUUUAAUUUCCUUACAGGUUGAUCAGGUCCAUGGAGAGAAAGUGUUCGGCUGCCGCCCGAGGCAAGGCCCCCGCUAGAGCUUCAAAUGCGAAACCAAACAUUCCAAGGUGUCGGGACGCAAAGGCGAUUGAAAACUAUAGCAAAUGUUUGCCUAGAAAAGUUGCCUCAACUAAAUUUGUGUGCAAUACCACGCUUAUUUCAUUAGGGGUUCUUGAGGGGGUCACUCAAUUGUUCCUUAACAUCGGGUGGACAGCGAGAGAAAAAAGUUGCAUUCCAACUUAUGGGGAAGUGGGCGUACAUUGAUUUUGCAAGGAUAAAUGACAUCUUGGGCUUACCUUCCUCAAACGCAUUCGUGACUUUCUACUCCUUGCUUGCCGAGUUCAACCACGAUGUCAUUUAUCCUUGCAAAAUCCAUGUACGCCUGCUCCCCCAUAAGUUGGAAUGCAACUUUUUUUCUCUCGAUGUCUAACCCGUUGUCGGCAAAGAACUCUCUAGUAGGGAGCUCGUAAGUGGUUCGAGGAAGGUAAGCCCAAGAUGUCAUUUAUCCUUGCAAAAUCAAUGUACGCCUGCUCCCACAUAGGUUGGAAUGCAACUUUUUUUCUCUCACUGUCUAACCCGCCGUCGGCAAAGAACUCUCUAGUAUGGAGCUCGUAAGUGUGUGCCAUGAGAUUUAGAUGGCUUUCCCACCCAAUGUUAUGAAACAACUAGGUGGCCCCCUUAGAAACCCCUAAUGAAAUGAGCGUGGGUUUGCACACAAAUUUGGUUAAGGUAACUUUUAUUGGCAAACUUUUGUUAUAGUUUUCAAUCGCCUUUACGUCCUGAAACCUUCGAAUGUUUG
rnacentral:lncRNA from 1 species